AAUGUAGUGAAGCAGUGCAGGAUGAGAACCACAAGUUCGAGCCGAGCGAAGCGAGACGACAACGCGCAAGCGUUGCCCGCAGGGCGAGGUGAAAUCGAGUCAAUCUAGCACGGCCCACCA
rnacentral:sRNA from 1 species